GAAAGGUAUAAAAAGAAGCUUUGCUAGAGUUGCAGCAUGUUUUUUUGAUACAAGCUCCUCGUUGUUUCAUUACUUUAAUUGCCAGAGGAAGACAGUUUGUUCUAUGGUAGGGAAGGACUCUGUCUCCAUGUGCUUGAUGUGCUACAGUAGGAGCCUGUGCUGGUACGGUAUAUCCUAUGAAACCACGACAGAGUUCAGCAAUGAAAAGCAUGCAUGCAUGCCGGGUAUGACUCAAAGACAUCAGAGUGGAUGGAGAAAAGUUACUUUAUACUGAGGGUAAAAGGAGAGAAGGGGAAGUACUUCUUCCAUCUGAAGUGAAUAUGUGGAAACCUCACCAAAAUCCAGCACUGAACACAUGUGGCUUUUUGGAAAGUGUCUCUGUGCAAAUGCGUCCCCAACAUCCAGAGUGAUAAAAAUCAUGUACUGAGCUGAGUCGAAUGGCGUAGCUGAAGUGGAGCUGUAAAUACAGUGGUAGGCGGUUUCCUGCCAAAACUCCCCAGCAUGUCCAAGAACCCCACUGUGACUCAGCCAUUGCAGUCACUGGGAACUCAGCACAGACACCCUUUCUAGUUGGGUAUUUCUACUUCUCUUUUUGCACCAUAUCAAGAGGGGCUCUAUUCAUCCAUAGAGGAAAAAGACUGACAAUAUGGCCAAUAUUUUUGUUGUCUUAAAGUAAUGAUCUUAUUGUAGAACUGAUGGAACUUCUGAAUAUGCUGAAUGGAUGGGAGAUGAUGAAGUAUUUGGUUAUAACGCAUUUUCUAAUGUAUGUACUGUUCCUUCAAAGAGUUAGCAUCUUCAGAAAGAUGAUCCAAGCUGGAAGAAGCCAUGCCCUUGCCAAAAUAACAGCAAGAGCAAUGCUGAGUAGCUUCUAGGUCAGCAGCUUCUAGGGUCUCACCUGCCCAAGAAUAUUUGAAGCUGUCAGAUGUCAUCCCCUUACUCCUCUGCAUUCAUAGCUUUGAUACUUCCUCUGUCAUUUAAGAUAACACUCCCUUUAGUCUGUUUUUAACCUGUGCAGAUGGUUGCCUCUGUAUGCAAAAAGUUCUGUACCCACAAAGCUUUACACUUUGCAUUGGCAAUAAAUACAGCAGAUUUGGGAGAUCUGCAGUUCCCAUCAGCUAAGCUAGAAUGGGCUGUUCUGUUCUUUUCCCUUCCUUAUCCCAUGCAGUAUUUGUUCUGUCACUUCUUUCUCUCCUCUCUCAUUUCUAGCCUGUCUCAUCUCCUCCAGCUCACAUUCCUAAUUCUCUCUUCUCUUUUUUUCAUACUUCCUGUGUUAGUCUCAGCCAAUUCUGUAUUGGCUUCUUCCACAUUCUGCUGGGACUCUCUCCCCAUCUGACCUUUCCCUGCAUGAACAAAUCCCAGUGUCCCAGGUUAGAAAAUUGACUCCGCUCUGCUUUUCUCUGCCUUCCAGCCUGCUGCUUAUUAAUUGCUUCCUGAAUUUUCUGCUUGAUACCUUUUUACUGCUUAACACUUCUUUUACUUUCAAGAUGCUCUCUGUCUUUUACUUUCUUUCUCUGUCCCCAGUAACGUAUACUUCAGGCAGUUUUGGUUUUUGUUCUGAGAACUGUCUACCUUCUCCAGCUUUCUGUUCAGUAUCUGAAGCAUAUCUGUGGUUCCGUUACUGAGCUUCCUUUCUGGGAAGUGCAGGCUCCUUGUACUUUGACUCGGGUCAUUAACAUCUAAGUGGCUUCAUUUUUUCUUGCAAAUUCCCAAAAGGACCCACUUUUAUCCUCUUUUCCUCAGUCCCCACCAGUAGGGCACCCAACAGUGCUAUGCGGUUCAUUCUGUUUGAUGAAAGCCACCACAGAGUUGCUGUUCCUCAGGCAAGAAAUCUUUUGCUGCACUCACAGCUGCGACCUGUGGAGGGUUUGGUAUGUUUUGAAAUGCUCCAAACUGAAAAGCAAGAGUCAGAGUUUUCACCUAGAGCCCCCGAGGAGGGAAUACCCAAGGAGCUGGCACCAGGAAGGAGCAGAGGGCAGAGGUGAGGGAUGCAGCGGGUGUGUGGCACGGGGCACUGAGAAGGGAGCCAGCCAAAAGGUAAGGGCAGCACUGGGAGUGCAUGACUCUUGGUUGGGGGCCUGAGGACAAACACUGCCAGAGCCCCUGUAGUUCAGCACUUUCUUCUGUCAGAAAUACAGCGAUGCAGACUGUGAGCACAGUACAUCCACUUCCACGCAGAGAUUCUAAUUUCUGCAUUUUAUUUCACCAAGUGACUCGAAUUCUACUUCUCUUCCCCCACACACUCCUAUACUAAGCAUAUUAGUACUUAAGGAAAAUUUCUGGGCCACGUGGGUAGCAGCCCCAGUACCCCACAAACACAGAGCGGCUGCCGAGAUCCUGCUUUCUGAGAAGAGCUUACCAGAAUGACCGGAGUUGGGUGAGUAGGCAGAGCCUGGGCUGCUGCAGAGCGCUGCACCCACCUGCGUCCCUGCAAGACGCAGUGACUGCUGCUGUGCUCGGGACGGCCCGUACUCAUGUCGGCGACGGAGAGCACUGCACCCCUGUCAGCCGCGAUGAAAAUGUAAGCUACAGUUUCCUGGAAUAUACUGUAAGUACAACUCGUAUCCCAGUGAGUUUAAAUGAGUAUUCAGUCUUAGCUACAAUAGCCAAUAAAUGCUAAAAUUAACAACAGGUUUGGCCCAGAAAGAAGUCCUAGGGAAGUUAAAAAACCAAACUUGUGCUUAGAAUUUGUAUCUAACCUCUGCACAGAACCAAGGCUGC
ensembl:lncRNA